AUACGGAGGGUGCAAGCGUUACUCGGAAUCACUGGGCGUAAAGCGCGCGCAGGCGGCUAUUUAAGUUGGAUGUGAAAGCCUACGGCUCAACCGUAGAACUGCAUCCAAAACUAUUUAGCUAGAGUGUGGGAGAGGAAGAUGGAAUUAGUUGUGUAGGGGUAAAAUCCGUAGAGAUAACUAGGAAUACCAAAAGCGAAGGCAAUCUUCUGGAACACUACUGACGCUGAGGCGCGAAAGCGUGGGGAGCAAACAGAAUUAGAAACCCGAGUAGUCC
rnacentral:rRNA from 1 species